rnacentral:lncRNA from 1 species
AUGCUCGUCAGAGUUUCACAUCACCUUCUGCAACUUCAACUGCCUCCAAAUCAGCUCGGCACCUGCGUGCGUACAGAAAGCACACACAAAAACUUUCAACGUUGUGCUUUGUGGGAGACGGGCUGGCCGGCACUAUUAAUUAUGCAUGCCAAUAAAAACCACGGCCAUAAAGGAUGGGAACUUCAAUAUCCACGGGAAUGGCUUCCAGUACAGAAGUUCAGAGAAACAGAUGCUUGUAAAUCUUUAAACGCCCCCCAGACUCACCUGGGCACGUGUGCAGGGCCCCAUGGACACAGGGGUGCGAGGAGAAACCUCGGAGCUCCCAGUGCAGAAAGCAAGUUUCUCUUGGCUGCUUUUGGCUGUGACCUGUACCAGUGGAGGAGGCACUCACACAGAGAGGUCGUGUGCUCUCCUUUCCUACCACUCCCAACUCAGAUAAGAGCAAUUCUCUCCAUCGUCUCCUUUAUCUUUUCCUCCCCCUUAAGCCUGGAAGGACACCGGGCUGCUCUCCCUCCUGUUCCCGGCAGCCAAAGGGAGGCACCAGGCAGUGAUGCAAGGAAUGCAGGCUCCCUGCUGCCUGGGAUGGAGCUGAAAAGCCCGAGCCCGAGCCCUCCCACCCUGCUGCUGGCCCCAUCCCCACCAGGAUCCCAUGGGAGCCCCCCAGCCGCUCCGGCACAGCACGGACCCACCUGUGCCUCCUGCGGCUGGCGUGGAGCAGCGUCACCGCGACCUCACCGGGACUCUGGCAUUACAGGCACGCUUUUGGCUUCCUUUUCUAUGGAAAAACGUCCUGAACUCGGAAAAGGCGCUGAUGGAUUAUCCUAUAGCAGCGGCAGUUCCCACGGCAGCAGCGGACGCAGGCGCGGGCUGGCAGCGGGGACGCGAGGCGCGCAGAGGCGGCUGCUGGAAAUCAGAGCAAGCCCCAGCGGCUUCGCUCAGCGCUGCAGGCUUCGGCAGCUCCUCCGGGUAACUUCAGCAUUCGGAUGCUACAACAAUGGCCCAAGCUUAUGCUGA